AUGGCUGAGGCAAGAAGAUCCUUUCAAGCUCCACCACAGACUCGAUUAAACGUAUUACUCCCCAGGCGUCUGCCUCUCUCCUGCUCCAUCUUAUCAUCUCUCUAUCCGUCCUUCACACCCCUGCCCCUCGCUGAGGUAGGAGCGCUGUGUAUUUAAAGGAGACAUCGGGAGAUGGCAGGUGGAAGGCCGGUUUAUCUCAGUCACACAGUAACCUAUGACAGUUAGAGGGACUGAGAGAAAGCCUGAGGCAGUGAGAUAUGCUUCUGAGCUGGGCAGGUCUUAUUCAAAUCUCAUCUGGCAUCCAAGCCCGCAUGCCUUUUCGGCAAACGAGGACUGAGCUCCGGCUUCUCCGGCCCUUUCACCUCUGCCAGACUCCAAAGUAUGCUUUGCUAGGAGGGGUCGUUGCAGCAUUACACAAACGACGGGAAGCAGAUGAGGUGAUUUCUCGCGCAUGACAGACAAUAAUCAAGGAGCUAAUUUUGGAGUCUGCAAAGGCUGCUGAAACUCUUAACUAUCAGAUGAAGCUCUGAGGCCACAGGGGAACCACAGGGAGAUAAAUCCCAGCCAUGUCUCCAUCACUGCACAGCAUAUACUCUCCUCAGACAGGGAAAAAGGAUAUCUGCCUCCCUGGCUUGUCCCCAGACCUUCGGUGAAGAGGGUGGAAGCGGUUCCGAGCUGGCCUCUCCACCAGCCCAUGGUGGCGGGUUCCACGAACAUUAUCAGCUUGAUGAAGUGACGGCUGCAGAGAGAAAGAAGAACAGUUGGCCUCCACCAUGAAACUGCCACUCACCCUCAGAAGCAAGUGGUAACAGACAAAAAGCCAGAGUUUCUAAUUUUAUUAUUGCAUGUUGGUGCUUUGUGUCAAAGUAAAUAAAAUGUCACUUGUGGCUCUAUUUCUACACAAUUCAGAA